AUUGAACGCUGGCGGAAUGCUUUACACAUGCAAGUCGAACGGCAGCACGGGGCAACCUGGUGGCGAGUGGCGAACGGGUGAGUAAUACAUCGGAACGUGCCCAAUCUGGGGGAUAACGUAGCGAAAGUUACGCUAAUACCGCAUACGAUCUACGGAUGAAAGCGGGGGAUCGCAAGACCUCGCGCGAAUGGAGCGGCCGAUGUCAGAUUAGGUAGUUGGUGGGGUAAAGGCUCACCAAGCCGACGAUCUGUAGCUGGUCUGAGAGGACGACCAGCCACACUGGGACUGAGACACGGCCCAGACUCCUACGGGAGGCAGCAGUGGGGAAUUUUGGACAAUGGGCGCAAGCCUGAUCCAGCCAUUCCGCGUGCAGG
rnacentral:rRNA from 1 species